UCACUUGUCAUAGACUAGGCUCUUACGGCAAAUGUACAGUCAGGACUGACAAGCAAGUAGACACACACACUGAACCACGAGCUGUUUCCUAUGUGCAGAAAUCUACUUGAGCAAGCCACACCACAGGGAGCUUAUCAGAAAAGACUGAUCUUUCCUAAUCUACUACCCCAUACCAUGUGCCCUUUGGAGCAGGUCAGGAGGUUGGAAUCGCAGUAGUCAUCUGUACUUGUUCACUCAUCUAAGCGAAUUGCCUUGGCUGGGAAUUUGCUCAUCCUGGGAGAUGAAAUUUCUUCCUUUUCUCUGAAACAAGAGAGGAGAUGUAGAGUGAAGUGCUCAGGGUAAGACGAGAUCUUGCCAUAGAUGACAAAGGACCACUGGUAGUAAGAGUAGAUGUGCAGGAAGGAGAAGACCAAGAUGUUGAGAAGAGAGACAAUAUACUCUAACAGGAGAAUUAAUCAAAGUAGAAAAUAUAAACUGUGCACAUCCUCCCGACAUGAAGAUGGAAGAUCUGG